rnacentral:lncRNA from 1 species
GGGAAAUAGCUGAUAUGCCCAGAUAACUGCACCAUUUUGAUAAUUUACAUAAGCAGAGACCUGGAAAAUAGUCUGAGGAUGAUAUAUAAGGUGAUAGAGCAAGAAGGAUUGUCUGUAAUAGUGGAUCAGGCUGAAUUUAUCUAUAUGGUUCUUGGUUAGUCGACUGAAACCUGAACUUAGUGAUGCUGAGAUGCUCAAACUUCCCUGGCAUAAUAGAGAGGAAAGUCAAAAUGCAUAAGAAAUAAGAAUAUUAAGGUGGAUUUAUCUUGUGCAGACUCACUCCUAGCCUCACUAAGUCCACUGAAAGGUCCAGGUUGUACUUCCUUUACUAAAGUAUUGAGAAUAGCAUUAGUGAGGGGACAUCCAAAAUCUUGAAUAGCUCUGUUGUGGCCAUCUGCAGGCUGGGAGGUGCUACCUCUGAGGUGGUUUUCCUGAUUUCUAGAAGUAGCAGAAACCACGUGAUAACACCAAAUUUCCAGAGACAAAGUCUUUGGACAGAAUGACCAUAAAGGAGCAACAAGGAUGAAAUGCUUAUCAUCAUUUGAACAGUUUUAAACCUGCAGGUAUUUUUGGCAGUGGCUAGUUGAUCACAAUGCCCCAAGGAAUGAAAUAUAUAGGCAGUCUUGGAGUUUCCAUUGUGGCUCAGUGGUAAUGAACCUGACUAGUAUCUAUGAGGACUCGGGUUUGAUCCCUGGCUUUGCUCAGUGCGUUAAGGACCUGGCAUUACCGUGAGCUGUGGUGUAGGCUGCAGAUGCAGCUCGGAUCCUGCCUUGCUAGGGCUGUAGUGGAGGCUGGCAGCUAUAGCCUGAUUUGCAUGUGCUGGUCAGAAAUUUGGCGAGAGAUGCCAGGAUGGAGGAUACAGGUUUCCCACCCAGCUUCAAAGCCUAAGUCAAGUCACAGACCAGAGCCCUUGAUGGCAAGGAAGACUGAGUUUUCUGGAGACAAGUCCCUGCAACCACCAUGUCUGCCUCCACAAAUUCUCCAAAGGGAUAGGAAGCCAUUUCCUAGGAUGACUGUACACAGGUUAAUGGGUAAGAUCAAGAUCUUUCAGGAAUUUCAGACCUGGGUCUGAUUAAAUAUUAAUCAUUAGGUACUAAUAUUAGAGUGGAGCCUAUGGAGGUUUGGUGACAAAUUGAGCCCAAUUCUAUCUUGUAGUAAUCAGAUGAUCUGUAGAGCCUCCUUGUGUUUAUUUUCCUGGUUCUUCUACAUAAAAUUGGAAUAGUCAUAUUCAGCAGCCACUCAAAUUGAAAAUGAGCGGGGCCCUGUGGGGCUCCUUGGCACAAAAACCUUUCUGUAUACCCUGUUUCUUGUUUUUAGGAAAUAGACCCCACUCAGCCUCCAUGACCUUCCCUGAGUUCCAAAGGGCAGGUGCAAACAGUUGUUAAUCAAGGAAGGAGGGGGAUGCAGAGACAAGGAAGGAGCAGUCAAGAAACAGUAGUGUAGCCUUGGGGCAGGGUCCUGGUUUUUCCUCGAGGAAUGCACAUGACAGUAUCUUUGAGUUCUUCUGAAGACCUAAACCCCCAACAAAUUAACUACCUGAUGAAGCAUUCUUCACUCCCAGACCACCAGAACCAGUCCCAGGGACACUAAACACCAAUACAAGCUUGGUCCACCCUGAUGCUUAUCUGCAACCCAAUUUUCCACUCCAAGAAAAUUUAAAAAUAUUUCCUAUUCUCUCCCAGAGGUGGGCACUGGCUUUAGGGCAUUAGCCUGCUGUGGCCUCCUUUGCCUGGCAAAAAAAUAGAACUAAUUUUUUUCUUCCUUCACCCAGAACUCUGUCUUGGAGUUUCUAUUGAGCACCAGUGGACAGGAGCCAAGUUUUGGCAACAAAAUCCCCUCAAUGACCACUGAUCCAAGAAAAAAAACUCUUUUUGUAGGAAAGGCCAAACAGAAGCCUCUGGAACCUACCCCCUCCAUUCGGAUAGUAAACCCAAGGCAAAACCAUACAUCAAGGUAAACUGCAAAGAUAAGUACCACUGUUAAAAGACCUGAAAGAUGCAGGGGGGGUGAUUUUUCUCAGAUCUCAUCAAAUUUGGUCACAGGGCUUGUGCAGGAGGUAGAUGGAUCUUGGGGAGAGACUGCAGAGGAUUGUAAACUUAAUUAUGUGCUGACACCAAUUACAGCAGCUGUUCCAGAUGUGGAAUCUCUCCUGGAACAAAUCAACACAACCCCUGGAAGCUAUUACACAGCUAUUCAUAUAGCAAAUGCUUUUAGCACCGUAUCGGUUUACAUGGGCUGCAAGAAGUGGUUCUCUUUCACCUGGCUGGGGCCGCAUUACACCUUCCUGGAUGCCCUCAGACUAUGCCAAUGCUCCUAUUCUUUGCCAUCUAAUCCAGAGAGAUUAGUCAUCUUGGCGUUCUACAGAAUGGUCACUGCCUAAUAUCAGAAAGUACCUGGGAAGUUUUAGUAAGAUACACUGGUUCCAGAGGAUAAGAGAUAAAUCCCAUACCAUUUCAAAGGCCUAUAACUUCAGGGACCAGUCUAGAUCUCCUAUGAUCUAAGUCAUCUCCAACAGAGCCUUCAAUGUAGAGGACAAGUAUUUGCACCUUAUACCACCUACCACUAAGAAGAGCAACAUUUUUCAGACUUCUUUGAAUAUUGGAGGGAACAUGGACCUCAUUUGAGUAUGAUGUUCAGACUUAUUUAUCAAGUGAAUUGAAAGUUUUUAAGAGGGUCUCAGAGAAAGACGAAACUCUGCAUAAAGUCCAGGCUUCAGGGCAAAUUACUCUGAUACUUGGUCCCUAUGACCCAUCAGAUCCUACGUCACACAAAUUUUCUGAAGCUCUCUGUGUCUAUUGGCAAAAAUCAUUGUGGAGAACCUUAGGAUUUUGCAAAAAAACUCAUCUGUUUUCUAUAGACAAGUAUUCCUUUGAAAAAUAGUGCUGGGCCCUGGGAGUGCUUGAAUGUGUGACUCCAAGUGAUCUGAGCUUCUCAUUUUAAGUUGAAUAUUAAUGGACCUGUCAAGUCAUAAGGUUAGGCAUGCAUACACUUAGGUCUCCUUGGUUGUAACUGUGCAGUGUGACCUCCUCUACCUGUGGUAGCUGAUGGCAGAGUAUUUAACCUAUCGUAUUCUGGAAGUGAUAAGCAGCAAGGGGGGAGGGGGAGGGGACUGGCUUCAGGGCACACCAAUCAGCAGUGUCUGCCACUGGCAAAACUAGUCAUCGUCUGUUUCUGGUGACAGAAACUGCCUCGUGAGACCCACCCCCGCUGGGAAUACUACACUAUGUUUAGACAAAAGAUGGUGGCCAUCUUUUUCUGCUUCCAGAGACAAAAAUAAGUUCACAUCAUCUAAAAGCUAUCAGAAUGGGUACAGAGCACAGAUAAUUUUUAGGUUAUUGGUAAUUUUGUGAGGCAUUGGGACAUUUCUUACAGUCUGAUUCUUGUGUUAAAGUCUCUGAAAGAGAGUUAAGUAGGCUUGGGUCAAUAAAGAGGUUGUACAACUUGGGCCAAGUUUGAUUUCUGUCUGUGGUGUAAACAGAUGAUGACAAGAUCAAUAAAUUCUCCCAGGUCUUAGGUUAUCUUUCCUUGUGUUUCCAAUUAGAGGAAACGAACCUCACAGAGUAUUUCCAAUUGAAGUAUCCAGGCCUCUGGUUUUUCUAAGACAGAGCUGGCACAAAAUUGAUGUGCUGAUGUUGCUAAAAUUUGGGGGAGCCAAGGAUUACCCUCUUAAGAUUUAUUAAAUAGACCUGGGGCCAAACUUACCCAAUUAUCUGGAUUAAAGUGUUUUGCAAGAAUCAUGGUCUACAACCCAGUGAAAUUUUAAGGAAAUCCGAGAUUCAGAAUUCAUCUUAAAAGCUUUCCUCUUUGGCUCCGGGCAGUUCAUUGGAUGUUGUGUCAUCACUGGGAGAAUUCUGUAUCCCAUUUGACAUGGCAUGGGUAUCACAUUGCUGCAGAUGUGGAAACUACUGCUCACCCAGACAUCCUACAUGACCACUUCUUCAGAGGCCUUGCCAUAGGCUACCUUUUUUGUGUGCAUGUGUGGCAAUAUUUUAGUAAUUUUUAAAAAGUAAUUAGAGUAUAAUAUAUGUAUACUAAAAAUCAAUAAUGAUAAAUGUCCAGUUUGGUGAAUUUUUUAUCAUCUGGACAUGUGCAUGUAACCUGCACCCAGAUCAAGAAUGAAAAUGCUUCCUUCCUAUCAACACUUCCUCUUCCAAAAGUGACAAGUCUCUUGAUUUUUUUCAAUGUUUAUUGAGAUACAAUUGACAUAUAACAAUGGAUAAGUUUAAGGUGUACAACAUGAUGAUUUGAUAUGUGUACCCAUUGCAAAACAUCACCGCACUAAGUUUUAACAUCCAUCACCUCAUGUAGUAACAGUUUUUUCCUUAUGAUGAGAACUUUUAAGAUCUACUCUCUAGAAAUUCCCAUUGUGGCUCAUUGAGUUAAGAACCUAAUAUAGUGUCCAUGAGGAUGCUGGUUCAAUCCCUGGCCUCACUCAGUAGGUUAAGGAUUCAACAUUACCACAAGCUGCUGCCAUAGGUUGCAGAUGUGGCUUAGAUGUGGCAUUGCUCCGGCCAUGGCAUAAGCCUACUGCUGCAACUCUAAUUCACCCCCAUCCCAGAAACUUCCAUAUGCUGCAGGUGCAGCUCUAAAAUAGAAAAAAAAAAAUAUCUUCUCUCAGAAAUUUUCAAAUAUGCAAUAUAGUAUUUUUAACAAUAGUGAUUAUGCUGUACAUUAUAUCCCCAGAAUUAUCUAUCUUAUGACUGGAGGUUUGUUCCUUUUGACCACCUUCACCCAUUUCCUCUACCACCUACUUCCUGCCUCUGGCAUCUCUCAAUCUGAUCUCUGUUUUUAUGAAUUUUAUUAUUUUAAAAUUCCAUCUAUAAAUGAGAUCACACAGUAUUUGUCUUCAUCUGUCUGACUUAUUUCACGUAGCAUAAUGCCCUCAGGACCCAUCUAUGUUGGCACAAGUGUCAGGGUUUCCUUUUCUAUGGCUGAGUAGUAUUUCAUUGUAUAUAUAGAUACCACAUCUUCUUCAUCCAUUCAUCUGUUGAUGGACACUCUCAUGACUUUUAACAACAUACAUGCGAUCCACCUGCUUUUGAAAUUUAUGUAAAUAGAAUCAUAGAGCAUGUUGUCCUUUGUGCCUGAUGUGGUAUUUCACUCAGUGUUACGAGCUGGGAUUCAUCCGUGUCGACACACUUAGUUGGAGUUCAUUCAUUCUCAUUGAAGUGCAGUAUUCCAUUGAAUGCCUACACCACUAUUACUCUCUAUUCUUCUGUUAAUGGUCCUGGAGGUAGUUUCAAGUUUCAGGCUAUCAUGCACAGUGUUGCUAUGAAUAAUGUACGUGGUCUUGAUGAAUUUAUGGAUGUUUCUGUUGGAUGAAAUUGCUGUGUCAUGGAGUAGACGUCUGUUCUGUUUUAGCAGACACAAGCUGCUUCUUUCCCAGAAUUGACGGGCUAGGCCUCCCUCUGAAAGCGGUUGGAUCUCUGGCUUUUUCAGGGGAAAAAGAGCUUCUGAUACAAUGUGUAAUGAGUUCAUGGCAUCCUCUGACAAGCCUCUCCAAAGGUUCCAUGUUGCUGAUUUUCCUUGAGAUAUAUAUAUAUCUAUCUCCUAGAAAUUCUCAUUUAACCAAUAUUUUACCAAUUAUGUUUGGGACAGUCACAGUGCAGUAGAAGCCAAGCACUACUAAGUGCUUAACCUAUUUUCCUCCAUUACAGUUCUUAUCUAGGCUCUGCGGAAGAUUUGCUUGCUUUAUAGGUUGAAAAACCCAUGACUGGGGAGGGGAAUGGUGGAGCAAGUAGGGAGACCCGAGACAGUUAACUUGCCCCUCUCUGUCAGCUGAUAUUGUUUCUGAACUUGUUCUCAUACCUGGCUUCCACAAAUUUAGAAUUUACUAAAAAUGGAAAGAUGCAUUUCAUAACUCUUCUCCCAACCUGCUGUUCUCUGUCACCAGAGACAGCGUGAGAAGGCUGCUGCUGGAGAUUUAAAGCCUAAAACUAUUUGAAGAGCUACAAAGUGUCAUCAAAAGAGUAAACCAGCGAGUUCCCGCUGUGGUGCCUUGGAAAUGAAUCUGACUAGUAACCAUGAGGAUGUGGGUUUGAUCCCUGGCUUCACUCAGUGGAUUAAGGAUCUGGCAUUACCGUGAGCUGUGGUGCAGGUUGCAGAUGUGGCUCAGAUCCCACAUCGCUGUGCCUGUGGCAUAGGCCUGCGACUGCAGGCCUGAUUUGACCCCUAGCCUGG